rnacentral:rRNA from 1 species
AACGAACGCUGGCGGCAGGCUUAACACAUGCAAGUCGAGCGCAUCCUUCGGGGUGAGCGGCAGACGGGUGAGUAACGCGUGGGAACGUACCCUUUGCUACGGAAUAGCUCCGGGAAACUGGAAUUAAUACCGUAUGUGCCCUUCGGGGGAAAGAUUUAUCGGCAAAGGAUCGGCCCGCGUUGGAUUAGCUAGUUGGUGGGGUAAAGGCCUACCAAGGCGACGAUCCAUAGCUGGUCUGAGAGGAUGAUCAGCCACAUUGGGACUGAGACACGGCCCAAACUCCUACGGGAGGCAGCAGUGGGGAAUAUUGGACAAUGGGCGCAAGCCUGAUCCAGCCAUGCCGCGUGAGUGAUGAAGGCCUUAGGGUUGUAGAGCUCUUUCAACGGUGAAGAUAAUGACGGUAACCGUAGAAGAAGCCCCGGCUAACUUCGUGCCAGCAGCCGCCGUAA